CCCCAACCAAAGCGAAAAGGUCUUUUGGGUUCCAUCUGCACCAGAAUCCCCCCCAACCAAAGCGAAAAGGUCUUUUGGGUUCCAUCUACAUAAAAAGAAGAUGAUAAAGCUCUGAUUGGGCUUAUUUCAAAUUGGUGUGUUUGCGGUGCACAUUCACCCAAAAAUCGCAGAGUGACAUCUUUAUUAUCAGACCAAACCAAGCAUAGGUGUUUAGGUUCCAUCUCAAUAGAAAGAGGACAAAUAAGCUUGCAUUGUUCUUUCGGUGUUCAGUGCCCCACAAAUAGCAAAGUGUAAUAAAGCCAAACAGGUUGUUUUGGGUUGCAGCAACAUAGAAAGAAGAAUCUUGGAUUUUGCUUAUUUCGUGUUCGUUGGCACAUUGACCCAGAAAUCUCAAAGUGUGUGUAUUGAGACCAAAAUAACACAACACCGUCUUUUCGCUUCCAUACGCGUAGAAAGUGAACGAAUAAGCUUUGAUUGUGCUUAUUUCAAUUCGCAUGGUGUUUUUUGGGAGUGCACCAGAAUCACCCCCAACCAAAG
rnacentral:lncRNA from 1 species